rnacentral:rRNA from 1 species
GACGAACGCUGGCGGCGUGCUUAACACAUGCAAGUCGAGCGGAAAGGCCACUUCGGUGGUACUCGAGCGGCGAACGGGUGAGUAACACGUGAGUAAUCUGCCCCUGGCUUUGGGAUAGCCACCGGAAACGGUGAUUAAUACCGGAUAUGACCACGUCUCGCAUGGGGUGUGGUGGAAAGUUUUUCGGCCAGGGAUGUGCUCGCGGCCUAUCAGCUUGAUGGUGAGGUAAUGGCUCACCAUGGCUUCGACGGGUAGCCGGCCUGAGAGGGUGACCGGUCACACUGGGACUGAGACACGGCCCAGACUCCUACGGGAGGCAGCAGUGGGGAAUAUUGGACAAUGGGCGGAAGCCUGAUCCAGCAACGCCGCGUGAGGGAUGACGGCCUUCGGGUUGUAAACCUCUUUCAGUACCGACGAAGCGCAAGUGACGGUAGGUACAGAAGAAGCACCGGCCAACUACGUGCCAGCAGCCGCCGUAAAAC